GAUGGAGAGAGUAUCCCCUCCUUCCCAGGGGGAAAAAUAUACCAUCAAGGAGAAGAAGAUUUAUGAAAAUAUAAGUGACAGUUUUCUUUAGUUAACCCCAUACAGUAUGAUCACCUGUCUUUCUACAUCAGGUGUGACCAUGUGACUAUGUUCCAGCCAAUGAGACAGAAGCAGACUUGAAAUGUUGAAUGGGGCUUCCAGGAAGUCUUUUAAAAGGGGGAGGAAUGCAUUCUUUUUUUUUGCCUCUUUUUCCUUUCUGGAGCCUGAAAAGCCGAUGUAAUGCAUGAAUCUCCAGCAGCUAUCUGGCCAAGAGGUAGAGGCCAGUGGCGGAGGGACGAUGGGGCAGAAAGAAACUGGGUUCCUACUGACAUCCUGAGGCCACUGUAUCAA